rnacentral:rRNA from 1 species
UACGAAGGGGGCGAGCGUUGUUCGGAAUUACUGGGCGUAAAGGGCGCGUAGGCGGCGACUCAAGUUAGAUGUGAAAGUCCUGGGCUUAACCUGGGGACUGCAUUUGAUACUGGGUUGCUUGAAUUCGGGAGAGGAUAGCGGAAUUCCCAGUGUAGAGGUGAAAUUCGUAGAUAUUGGGAAGAACACCGGUGGCGAAGGCAGGUCUCUGGGCCACUACUGACGCUGAGAAGCGAAAGCAUGGGGAGCGAACAGG